rnacentral:rRNA from 1 species
GAUGAACGCUGGCGGCGUGCCUAAUACAUGCAAGUCGAGCGAACAGACGAGGAGCUUGCUCCUCUGACGUUAGCGGCGGACGGGUGAGUAACACGUGGAUAACCUACCUAUAAGACUGGGAUAACUUCGGGAAACCGGAGCUAAUACCGGAUAAUAUAUUGAACCGCAUGGUUCAAUAGUGAAAGACGGUUUUGCUGUCACUUAUAGAUGGAUCCGCGCCGCAUUAGCUAGUUGGUAAGGUAACGGCUUACCAAGGCAACGAUGCGUAGCCGACCUGAGAGAGUGAUCGGCCACACUGGAACUGAGACACGGUCCAGACUCCUACGGGAGGCAGCAGUAGGGAAUCUUCCGCAAUGGGCGAAAGCUUGACGGAGCAACGCCGCGUGAGUGAUGAAGGUCUUCGGAUCGUAAAACUCUGUUAUUAGGGAAGAACAAAUGUGUAAGUAACUAUGCACGUCUUGACGGUACCUAAUCAGAAAGCCACGGCUAACUACGUG